UUGUCCAUUUUGUUGCAUAUUCUAAGGACCCAGACACAGGCUUGGUGGCCCAUCUCUUGUUUUUCCUGGUUUAUGACUUUCGGCUUUGUGGAAUACGGCUGAGAUGAAAGGAUUUAUUGAUGAUGCAAACUACUCCGUUGGUGUGUUGGAUGAAGGAACAAAUCUCGAAAAUGUUAUUGAUAACUAUGUUUAUGAACAUACUCUGACAGGGAAAAAUGCAUUUUUUGUGGGGGAUCUUGGAAAGAUUGUGAAGAAACACAGUCAAUGGCAGAAUGUGGUGGCCCAGAUAAAGCCAUUUUACACAGUGAAGUGCAACUCUUCUCCAGCUGUACUUGAGAUUUUGGCAGCUCUUGGAAUUGGGUUUGCUUGUUCCAACAAAAAUGAGAUGGUUUUAGUGCAAGAAUUGGGUGUAUCUCCAGAAAACAUCAUUUACAUAAGUCCUUGCAAGCAAAUUUCUCAGAUAAAGUAUGCAGCAAAAGUUGGAGUAAAUAUCAUGACAUGUGACAAUGAAAUUGAAUUGAAGAAAAUUGCACGUAAUCACCCACAUGCCAAGGUCUUACUACAUAUUGCAACAGAAGAUAAUAUUGGAGGUGAAGAGGGUAACAUGAAGUUUGGCACUACUCUGAAGAACUGUAGGCAUCUUUGGGAAUGUGCUAAGGAACUUGAUGUCCAAAUAAUUGGGGUUCAAUUUCAUGUUUCAAGUGCUUGCAAAGAAUCUCAAGUAUAUGUACAUGCUCUAUCUGAUGCUCGAUGUGUGUUUGACAUGGCUGGAGAAUUUGGAUUUAAAAUGAACAUGUUAGACAUUGGUGGAGGCUUCACCGGAACUGAAUUCCAGUUGGAAGAGGUUAAUCACGUUAUCAGCCCUCUGUUGGAUAUCUACUUUCCAGAAGGCUCUGGCAUUAAGAUAAUUUCAGAACCUGGAAGCUACUAUGUGUCUUCUGCAUUUACACUUGCAGUUAAUAUCAUUGCUAAGAAAGUUGUUGAAAAUGAUACAAUUUCCUCUGGAGUAGAAAAAACCAGGAGCGAUGAACCAGUGUUCAUGUAUUAUAUGAAUGAUGGUGUUUAUGGUUCUUUUGCAAGUAAACUGUCUGAGGACUUAAAUACCAUUCCAGAGGUUCAUAAGAAAGACAAGAAAGAUGAGCCUUUAUUUACAAGCAGUCUUUGGGGUCCAUCCUGUGAUGAGCUUGAUCAAAUUGUGGAAAGCUGUCUUCUUCCUGAGCUGAAUGUGGGAGAUUGGCUUAUCUUUGAUAACAUGGGAGCAGAUUCUUUCCAUGAACCAUCUGCUUUUAAUGAUUUUCAGAGGCCAGCUAUUUAUUACAUGAUGUCAUUCAGUGAUUGGUAUGAGAUGCAAGAUGCUGGAAUUACUUCAGACACAAUGAUGAAGAACUUCUUCUUUGCAUCUUCUUGCAUACAGCUAAGCCAAGAAGACAGCUUUUCCACUGAAGCUUAAACAGGCAUUAACGCUUCCAUAGAUCUGAAGUAGCAGGUUAAGCUUGUCUGGUCUAUAUUCCAGUGUGGAAAAAAAAAAAUUCAAUCUAUUCUGCUAUUCUCUUGGAAACAAAAAUUAAUACUAAUAGCUAUUUGGGACCAGACAAAAUCAGCUUCAUCUACAAUUCAUUGGGGGUAGUGGGAGAUUUAGAUAAUGUAUCCAGAUUUAAAUAUCAGUUUGUCCUACCCCUUAAGCGUUUAAAUAAAAUAUGCAACAAAAUGGGUGACUUAGUGGAGAUGGAAGCCCAUUAAUUGGGUUCCCCAUUAAACCGUUUACAUACAAGUACACAGUUUUUAUACUAAGGAUUCGUGUUAAAAAGUCUUGUAAAGUUAAUGUCUUUCACCCAGAUACAUCAAAUGUCAGUGGAAGACCAGUGUGACUUCAUUAGAUAUGUUUAGUGUAUUUAGAAUGUGUAAAUUUGUGCUUUGAACUGUAGUUUAAUAAAUGUAAAAUUGCAUCAUAGUACUUGUUGUAUUUGACCUGAUAUAACCCUGUAUGAUUGCAAUA